GAUGCCGGCACUGUUCUAGGACAUAUGGGCGUACUAAGGUGUACCAGUCCCCUUGCCUUUAAAUGGACCGAUGGGGCUGAAUGUAAAUGAUACUGUACAUGUAUGGGGACGUGGGCGAUAACGAUGACGGAUGUUGAAGUGGCCCGCUAACCUUUCCUUCUGCUACUCCUUCGCUCGACGCAGUAAGACGGUACCAGCGUGAGCCAGUCCUGUCCUCGGUGCUGAGAGAAGAGCGGGCUGAGUGUGUCCUCUUUCACGCAGCAGCCUUCAAGAAGACACAAGAGAGAGAGAGAGUGCAUGUGUGAAUAGUGAACCACAUAAACUAUCCUCAUAUUUGUGGUCUACUUAGAGGCACAUGAUGAAAGGAACAAGAUUGCAAGAUGUUCUCCACUGCUGUUCCCUUCACCACCUCAAGAAGCCCUUACAUCCAAGUUGCCAGCACCUUUCUGUUGCCACAGGAGGAAGUGAAUAUGAAUGAAGAGGAAGAUGAAGUGUCUUAACUGAGGCAGACCAGCAGCAGCAGCAGGAGAGGGGAUAGAGACAUUUACACAAGAGUGACACCCAUAUACAGCAUUCACAUCCUGUCUUGUUGGGAACAUAGCAUCUGAAAAAAUAUGAAGGAGAAAGACCUCAGCAAGGUCACAGUGCUGCUCAGUGCACGUUAUCAGGUGAUGCACUGACCCAGAAGACUCAACAGGUUAAUUUCUCCCAGCAUCACCCUGCAAAAAAAAAAUCAUUAAUGAUGUAUACUGACAUUACUUUUCAAGUGGAACAACCAAAUAAAAAUAAUAUUCCA